rnacentral:rRNA from 1 species
AGAGUUUGAUCCUGGCUCAGGACGAACGCUGGCGGCGUGCUUAACACAUGCAAGUCGAGCGAUGAAGCACCUUCGGGUGUGAAUUAGCGGCGAACGGGUGAGGAACACGUGAAGAAUCUGCCUUCAACUCUGGGAUAACUCCGGGAAACCGGGGCUAAUACCGGAUAUGAGCCUUGAUCGCAUGAUCGGGGCUGGAAAGUUUUUCGGUUGAAGAUGACUUCGCGGCCUAUCAGCUUGUUGGUGAGGUAAUGGCUCACCAAGGCGACGACGGGUAGCCGGCCUGAGAGGGCGACCGGCCACACUGGGACUGAGACACGGCCCAGACUCCUACGGGAGGCAGCAGUGGGGAAUAUUGGGCAAUGGAGGAAACUCUGACCCAGCGACGCCGCGUGAGGGAUGAAGGCCUUCGGGUUGUAAACCUCUUUCAGUAGGGAAGAAGCGAAAGUGACGGUACCUACAGAAGAAGCACCGGCUAACUAUGUGCCAGCAGCCGCGGUAAUACAUAGGGUGCAAGCGUUGUCCGGAAUUAUUGGGCGUAAAGAGCUCGUAGGUGGUUCGAUACGUCGGAUGUGAAAAUCAGGGGCUCAACCCCUGACCUGCAUCCGAUACGGUCGAGCUAGAGUUUGGUAGGGGAGACUGGAAUUCCUGGUGUAGCGGUGGAAUGCGCAGAUAUCAGGAGGAACACCGAUGGCGAAGGCAGGUCUCUGGGCCAAUACUGACACUGAGGAGCGAAAGCGUGGGGAGCGAACAGGAUUAGAUACCUGGUAGUCCACGCCGUAAACGGUGGGCGCUAGUUGUGC